AUGGAAAUAAUUUAUUGCCAGAAGCCCUCCAUUAGACUGCGUGAGACAUCUGUGUACAUGCAGAAAGUGGUGCCCAGCAUGGAGUGGGGAGUGGCAGGUUUGCCUUUUUCUCUACUGCAGUCCCAGAGUCCAGCCCGGAGGCUGCUUGUAACACGCACUGACUGGAUGCGUGAAGGACUUUGUAUCGGAAGACUGAGAUCUCCUCCCAGACGUGUGAGGGCCAGAUGUCUGCACAGAGUUCAGAACCUCUCUCAGCACCUGGGUUUUGGAGCAGAACAAGAUGAAACAAUGUGCCAAACCAAAAUUGGAGCCAGGAUAGAAAAUGGCUUUGAUGUGAUGGAUCCAGUGUAAUUGUAUGUUUGCAUGGGCCUGGCUGUACUCCAGGUGCACACAUCCAUAACCCAGUCCGUCAACCAGAUGUUACCAGUUUUUUUUUUUAAUAAAAAAAAUACAGAAUAUGAUCUAUGCCUAUAG
ensembl:lncRNA